rnacentral:rRNA from 1 species
UACGUAGGGUGCGAGCGUUAAUCGGAAUUACUGGGCGUAAAGCGUGCGCAGGCGGCGCGUUAAGACAGGUGUGAAAUCUCCGAGCUUAACUUGGAAACUGCCGUGGAUACUAUUUAUCUUGAAUAUCGUGGAGGUUAGCAGAAUAUGUCAUGUAGCGGUGAAAUGCUUAGAUAUGACAUAGAAUACCCAUUGCGAAGGCAGCUAACUACGCGGUAAUUGACGCUGAGGCACGAAAGCGUGGGGAUCAAACAGG